rnacentral:tRNA from 1 species
GCCUGGUUGGCUUAGUCGGUGGAGCACAAGACUCUUGAUCUGUGGGUUGUGAGUUUUAGCCCCACAUUGGGUG